UAAACAUAAUCUGAAAAGUUGUUUAGAUAGGUUGGGUUACCUUUAAACGUUGUGGUCUCAGUGCCUUAAGGAUUUCGUGUUUCCCAGCUUUCGCUCUGAGUAAAGAACAAAUGAUAACUAUUGUGGGAACAAUCUUCCUGCCCUAGGUAGACUGAGUUUAACUGAAGGAUUAACCAAAAAUAAGUAACAGGUGCAGUAAGGGUUAUUAGCUCUGAAAUCUCGGAGCAGUCUAGUUUUUUUUAUCGUUUUAAAGGUUUUGUUUGUUUGGGGUUUUGCCGUAGGCCAUGUGCACUCUCCAGGCAGGCCCCAGCUCCCGCGUGACGUGACUGCUGUUGCCGUGCCUGGCCGGUGAAAGCAGUCCAGGAGACGACCCUCCCCGAGCCUGUCCACGUGGCCUACUCCUGCGCCAGCUCACGGAGGGCGGUCACAGCCCUCCUGGCCACUCGCUCUGGUUGUCUCUGACGUUGCCCCUGGGGAAGGGCUGCAGAGGCGGGCCUCACCGUGGGAAGCCAGCACCUUCUCAGCUGAGCUCGCCAGGCCGGGCAGGCCGAGUGCCCCUGCCCAGAGCUUGCCUGGUGCACCCCAGCAGGUCGGCCGCAGAACGCUCGCACCUCCCCUCCUGACGAGGCCUGCGGGAGUGUGACUUGCAGGGAGGUCUCCAGACAGACCGUCCACCACAGAACUCCCAAAAGACAAGGAUGUGAAAGCGCAAGGUACAGGCUGGGGGCGAGGAGCAAAGGCAGAAACAAAGCGAUGGUUCAGAAACAUACUUUCACCUCCUCUUUGCAAGGCGACUGUUUCUCAGAAGACCGAAGGCUUGUUCUCUGGAGAAGCUGAAUCUGAUAGGACGCGGGAGGGUGACAGUGAUACUUGUUACGUCGAAGACAGCAUGAUAAGAAGAAUGUCUGAUACGUGUUACGUCGAAGACAGAAUGAUAAGAAGAAUGUCUGAUACGUGUUACGUCGACGACAGAAUGAUGAGAAGAAUGCCCGGUCUCUGGACACCGUGGGGACCCUCCAGUUCAUUUUUUCCACCCAGCUACAAAAUCUGGUAACAGAGCUUAUGCCUGGCCCUGCACAACCACCUGAAAAAAAGCAGUGAACAAAAUA